rnacentral:rRNA from 1 species
AGCGAACGCUGGCGGCAGGCUUAACACAUGCAAGUCGAGCGGGCACUUUCGGGUGUCAGCGGCGGACGGGUGAGUAACGCGUGGGAACGUGCCCUCUGGUUCGGAAUAACUCAGGGAGACUUGAGCUAAUACCGGAUACGCCCUUUUGGGGAAAGGCUUGCUGCCGGAGGAUCGGCCCGCGUCUGAUUAGCUAGUUGGUGAGGUAACGGCUCACCAAGGCGACGAUCAGUAGCUGGUCUGAGAGGAUGAUCAGCCACACUGGGACUGAGACACGGCCCAGACUCCUACGGGAGGCAGCAGUGGGGAAUAUUGGACAAUGGGCGCAAGCCUGAUCCAGCCAUGCCGCGUGAGUGAUGAAGGCCUUAGGGUUGUAAAGCUCUUUUAUCCGGGACGAUAAUGACGGUACCGGAGGAAUAAGCCCCGGCUAACUUCGUG